GACGAACGCUGGCGGCGCGCUUAACACAUGCAAGUCGAGCGAGAACCCAGGCUUCGGCCUGGGGGAAAGCGGCGAACGGGUGAGUAACACGUGGGUAAUCUGCCCUCGGCAUCGGGAUAGCCCGGGGAAACCCGGAUUAAUACCGAAUGGCCCAUCUGCUCUUCGGAGCGGCUGGAACAGGUAGCUUUGGCCUCCGGCCGAGGAGGAGCCCGCGGCGGAUUAGCUUGUUGGUGAGGUAACGGCUCACCAAGGCGACGAUCCGUAGCUGGUCUGAGAGGACGAUCAGCCACACUGGGACUGGGACACGGCCCAGACGCCUACGGGGGGCAGCAGUGGGGAAGCUUGCGCAAUGGGCGAAAGCCUGACGCAGCGACGCCGCGUGCGGGAAGAAGGCCUUCGGGUUGUAAACCGCUUUCAGGAGGGACGAAGCCACUCGGGUUAAUAGCCCAGAGGGUGACGGUACCUCCAGAAGAAGCCCCGGCUAACUACGUGCCAGCCGCCGCCGUAACAC
rnacentral:rRNA from 1 species